CCAGUCGCUGCCUGUCCUCGCGGAUGGCAAUGGCAAUCAUGAAAGUGAGAUGAGAUGAUACCGGAGGAUAUACUACUGCUGGCGCCAUGAGGCUCACGGUCACGGGCAUGGGAACCACGGUAGUGUCGUGGUCCUUUUACUUGCUCUCGUCCACUCCACUUUUGCGCGCUUUGAGGCAGGGAAAGGCACGUCAUGUGCGUGCAGGAAAGGGAGCUCAGGAAAUCAGGAUCCGAUGAAGGUGGUGGAACUGGGAGAUGAACAAAGGGGAGGCAUUCGCGCUGAGCCCAGCUCACCUGCUCUAGAGUUGAUCAAUUCCAAACAGCAUGAGCUAGAGAGGGUUAAAACUCUUCUUUCGAAGAAAUAAGUGUCAUUAGAUACAUUUCAUAGUACAAUGAUUUAGUAUCACAAAUAUUAAUAUUUUAAUUUAUGUAUAUUUAUUUGAUCAAACUUUAGACACGUUAAUAAAAAAAGGCAAAAGCUA
rnacentral:lncRNA from 1 species